UGAACAUUGUCUCAUACCGGACGGGGUAUAGAGACUUGGUAAUUUGGCGCUCAUACCGGACGAGAUAUGGGGACGGCCCGCUUCACCCUCAUACCGGAUGGGGUAUUGAGAUUUAAUGUCUUAGCACUCAUACCGGACGGGGUAUGGGGACAGCCCUGUAAUUGAGAUUGUUAAGGGAAAUGGUUCACAUGUAGUGGGAACACCCCUAUAAACCCCCAUGGAUAUUAGUAGGCUCGUGAAAUGAGAAACGGAUAUGAUUUGCUUUAUUGUUAAUGGAUAUGAAUUUAUGAUAUGUUCUAUGUUACUGAUUGUUCAUGAAGUUAUGAUAUGUAUAGUAUUAUUAUCUCUAUAGAUUGUUUUCAUAAAUUCCACUAUGGUAAGUGAACGGUAAAUGAUUUUAUAAUUGAUAAACGAAGUUGCUAAAUUUAG
rnacentral:lncRNA from 1 species